UGGCGAACGGGUGAGUAACGCGUGAGGAACCUGCCUCAAAGAGGGGGACAACAGUUGGAAACGACUGCUAAUACCGCAUAAGCCCACGGGUCGGCAUCGACCUGAGGGAAAAGGAGCAAUCCGCUUUGAGAUGGCCUCGCGUCCGAUUAGCUAGUUGGUGAGGUAACGGCCCACCAAGGCGACGAUCGGUAGCCGGACUGAGAGGUCGAACGGCCACAUUGGGACUGAGACACGGCCCAG
rnacentral:rRNA from 1 species